rnacentral:rRNA from 1 species
CCCCUAGACGUUCUGGGCCGCACGCGCGCUACACUGACCAGUGCAACAAGCAUCCGUCCUUGGCCGACAGGCCCGGGCAAUCUUUGAACGCUGGUCGUGAUGGGGAUAGACUUUUGCAAUUUUUGGUCUUCAACGAGGAAUUCCUAGUAAACGCAAGUCAUCAACUUGCAUUGAUUACGUCCCUGCCCUUUGUACACACCGCCCGUCGCACCUACCGAUUGAAUGGUCCGGUGAAGCCUCCGGAUUGGCGCGCACCUCGGUGCCGCCGAGAAGUUGGCUAAACCUUACCAUUUAGAGGAAGGUGAAGUCGUANCA